rnacentral:rRNA from 1 species
GACAGAGGUGCCAAGCGUUAGGCGGAAUCACUGGGCUUAAAGCGUGUGUAGGCGGAUCGUUAAGUACCUUGUGAAAUCCCACGGCUCAACCGUGGAACUGCUGGGUAUACUGGCGGCUCUUGAGCCACCUAGGGGCAACUGGAACAAGCGGUGGAGCGGUGAAAUGCGUAGAUAUCGUCAGGAACGCCAAUGGUGAAGACAGGUAACUGGGCUAGUUCUGACACUGAGGCACGAAAGCGUGGGGAGCGAACGGG